AUGAGUGUGUCUCAGUUAGGAAUGCAUGAUGUCCGUAUAAGAUAUUCAAUCAGGAUGACACAAGCAACCGAAGCACCGUUCAGACAACGAGAGAAGCUUAUUGAGAAGCAAAAAUAUUUCCAGAACAUGCGUAAGCAUACUCACUUGAAAGGACCCUAUGACAAGAUUACAUCUGUUGCAAUUCCACUUGCUUUUGCUGCAGCUUCACUUUUUAUGAUUGGACGAGGGAUCUAUAAUAUGUCACAUGGAAUAGGAAAGAAGUAA